AAAGUCGUAACAAGGUUUCCGUAGGUAAGUUAUCACAAAAAUAUCCCUUACACUUCCUGUGAACAAUCACUAACAUCUCUUCCAGGUGAACCUGCGGAAGGAUCAUUACAAUAUAACAAGGGUGGCGGCUUCGGCCAAAGCCCAUGUGCACGCAAGUGUACCCUCUGUGAACCUCCUGGUUUCUUUGGCGAUGUCAAAUUGACUCGUCAAAAUAUAACUCUGAUAAUUUGAUAAAGUCUGAGUUUUAUUCAAUAAACAAAAACUUUCAACAACGGAUCUCUUGGUUCCA
rnacentral:misc_RNA from 1 species